rnacentral:rRNA from 1 species
CCAAUAGCGUAUAUUAAAGUUGUUGCAGUUAAAAAGCUCGUAGUUGAAUUUCGGGGUCAGUAGGUUGGUCGUGCCACUGGUAUGCACUGGUCUCACUGAUUCCUCCUUCCUGAUGAACCGUAAUGCCAUUAAUUUGGUGUUGCGGGGAAUCUGGACUGUUACUUUGAAAAAAUUAGAGUGCUUAAAGCAGGCUCGCGCUUGAAUACAUUAGCAUGGAAUAACGGAAUAGGACGAUCGAACCUAUUUUGUUGGUUUCUAGGAUCGACGUAAUGAUUAAUAGGGAUAGUUGGGGGCAUUAGUAUUCAAUUGUCAGAGGUGAAAUUCUUGGAUUUAUUGAAGACUAACUACUGCGAAAGCAUUUGCCAAGGAUGUUUUCAUUAAUCAAGAACGAAAGUUAGGGGAUCGAAGACGAUCAGAUACCGUCGUAGUCUUAACCAUAAACUAUGCCGACUAGGGAUCGGAUGAAGUUAAUUUUUUAAUGACUCAUUCGGCGCCUUACG